rnacentral:rRNA from 1 species
UACGUAGGGGGCAAGCGUUGUCCGGAUUUAUUGGGCGUAAAGAGCGUGUAGGCGGCCAGGUAGGUCCGUUGUGAAAACUCGAGGCUCAACCUCGAGACGUGGAUGGAAACCAUUUGGCUAGAGUCCGGAAGAGGAGAGUGGAAUUCCUGGUGUAGCGGUGAAAUGCGCAGAUAUCAGGAAGAACACCCGUGGCGAAGGCGGCUCUCUGGGACGGUACUGACGCUGAGACGCGAAAGCGUGGGGAGCGAACAGG